AUGCGAUGGUGGAACGGACGGCGGCCUCAGCGUGUGGGCGGCGGCGGCCCAUCUGGUGAACGAGCCCGCACCUCCCUGCCCUCCUCAUCACCCUUCCCUCCUUGGCUUAAUGGGAGGUUCGUGGGGCACCUCUCAGGCUGCUGCUGCCUCUUCCGCCCAGCAGGACGAGCACAAGGUACACAUGAAUCUACGAUCCAGAUUCUAGCUACAUCCUUUACUACAACAAUAUCAGUCUAUACUGAAAAGUGUACUGCUUAUAUAGCUGAUAUCUUUAAUUCAUAUGGUCGGCCGCUGGAUGCUGACUGGUCUUUGGUUCAUAUGGUCACUGGCAAGAAGCUUGUUGCUAUGUUUGGUUCAUAUGGUCGUCGACUGGAAGCUCGCGCUCUGAAUGAUCUCAUUCUCUAUGGCCGACAAUACACACUUUUCAUUACUACCAGCUGGGUCUUCUUAGAGUGA
rnacentral:rRNA from 1 species